rnacentral:lncRNA from 1 species
CCGAGUAGAGGAUGAAGCGGCUCCUGGAUGGAGGCAGAGGCUUCCUGGAUCUUCAAGUUCUGUAUGGGUUGUUGUAUGAGUUCUUAGUUCAAGACACCAAGAGCCUGGACACCCUCCACUGGUAACAAAAGUAACUGGUGUUUUUGCCAUUAGAAGUAAUGGCACAGAACAAGUACAUGAGAGCGAUUUCUUAUGGAAAAUUAAAUGGCGCAUAAGUCGUGUGCUCAGGUCCGGCGGGGGCGGGACUUUAAAGGUAAAAACAGCAAUUACUUUUGCACCAACUUAUCUUCUAAGUUUCGCUCCCUACCACCUGAGUGUGUUUGGAGGCUCUGGCUCAUUGUACCUGCCUGAUCACCAGGUGCAAGUAGCUGGGCCAGAAGGACCUCGGCACGUUACGGAAUAUUUACUACAGGAACAGCAUGCAAGACAACAUGCUAGACACACGAAAGAUGGAAUAAAUGGAAGAAAAUGCAACACAGAUCUCAUGCUUAAGAGGGACAGAUUUACUCUGAAGAUUCAAUGAAAAAACAUCCACAAACAACUUUUCUACAAGAAACAAAACAUUUUAAAGAAAACAUUUACUUCAGCCGGGCGC